AGAGUUUGAUUCUGGCUCAGGAUGAACGCUGGCGGCGUGCCUAACACAUGCAAGUCGAACGGAGAACUAAGGAACAAGUUUUCGGACAAGGGAAUUAGUAUCUUAGUGGCGGACGGGUGAGUAACGCGUGAGCAAUCUGCCCUCGGGUGGGGGAUAACAGCCGGAAACGGUUGCUAAUACCGCAUAAUGUAAUAAAAUGGCAUCAUUUUGUUACCAAAGAUUUAUUGCCCAAGGAUGAGCUCGCGUCUGAUUAGCUAGUUGGUGAGGUAACGGCUCACCAAGGCAACGAUCAGUAGCCGGACUGAGAGGUUGAACGGCCACAUUGGGACUGAGACACGGCCCAG
rnacentral:rRNA from 1 species